AUCCACCUUGGUAGUGUAAUUACUUAUCACAAUAUUAUAAGAAGUAGUGAUUGUACUAUUAUUUAAUAUUUAAUAAUUUUUUUCGUUUCCGUUUUGUAUUGUCGACUUCCAAUAAAAUAUCUAAAUGAUACAAUGUUAAAGCUACAAAAUAACCGAUGACAGCCUAAUGACGAAAUAGACUGAAAGUGAUAUGAGUACGCAGCAAUUAUUACUGAUCCGUAAAAAUGUACAUCGAAGCCACUUUGAAUAUCAUAACACACAAAACACAAUUAACAAGAUAUGUUACAAUAAUUGGAACAUUCGAGAACGAGUUGAGCUCCUAUAAAUCCGUUCGUUUCAAGCACUGCAGGUACGAUACAAAUCACAAAUGAAUAUUGUACUAUGAGAGGAAGACCAAUGGUUUUAUUAAAAUGCAUUAACUACUUGUCCCUAUUUAAAUACCUAGUUAAGCACAUUAGAUACUCUCAGUGAGUUUAGCAUAAAAUUUGGAGUUAGAUAAAUAGACCUUAAAAACAAACUAUUAAAUAUAAUGAUUAUUGCUUUAAGAUAACACUUAAAAAUGAUUUAUUUUAAUUAUAUUAUAUACAUACUUUUUUUUCCAAAGUUUUAUACUUAAUAAAAUGGCUAAAUGUAAUAAGGUCGUUUUUGGCACUUACAAGCUUAAAACAAUUUUUGAAUUGACGACAAUACAUUAAUAUUGGAUCGUAUACUUAACUUGAAAUUAUAUGACUUGACUAUUCUACACUUCUUUCAAAACAUAUUAAUUUCUUCGGCUUUUUUUGA